rnacentral:rRNA from 1 species
AUGGCCGCGAUCUGCUGCCAGGAAGCCAAGUCGCCGCCGGCUACCGCCGCCACGGUGGCCACGGUCUCGGCAUCGGCGGCCGCCGCGGCCGUUGCCUCUUCGGUGAUGGACAGGCGGCGCCGCAGGCUGGAGCUGAAGCGCUUCCGCCUCGCGAGCGACCUCGAGCAGUCGGCCGCGGAGUACGCCGGCGCCCGCAAGCGGCCCAGGAUACCGCGCACGGUGUCUGGCCCGUGCCCCGACGCUGCCUCGGCUUCCGAGAACAUGGAUCGUUGCCCGAGGUACGGGUUUUCCUCGGUGUGCGGCCGUCGUCGCGAGAUGGAGGACGCCGUCUCCAUCAGGCCGGGUUUCUUGCCCGGCUCCGGCAAGUCCCACUUCUUCGGCGUCUUCGAUGGCCACGGCUGCUCACACGUGGCGACGACGUGCCAGGAGCUGAUGCAUGAGGCGGUGGCGGAGGAGCACGAGAAGGCGGGCUCCGGCGAGGGGCCUGUGUGGAAGGAGGUGAUGGAGAGGAGCUUCGCGCGGCUGGACGAACGGGCCGCGAACUGGGCGACCACCCGCAGCAGCGAGGAGCCCGCCUGCCGUUGCGAGCAGAAGAUGCCCUCGCGGUGCGACCACGUGGGAUCCACCGCCGUCGUGGCCGUCGUCAGCCCGAUCCAGAUCGUCGUGGCCAACGCCGGCGACUCCCGUGCCGUCCUUUCCCGCGCUGGCGUCCCCGUUGCCCUCUCCGUUGACCACAAGCCUGAUCGGCCGGACGAGCUGGAGCGCAUCCAGGCGGCGGGCGGGCGCGUCAUCUACUGGGACGGCGCCCGGGUGCUCGGCGUCCUCGCCAUGUCCCGAGCCAUAGGGGAUGGCUACCUGAAGCCGUUCGUGACGGCGGAGCCGGAGGUGACCGUGACGGAGCGCAGCGACGCCGACGAGUGCCUGAUCCUGGCCAGCGACGGGCUGUGGGACGUGGUGACCAACGAGAUGGCGUGCGACGUGGCCAGGGCGUGCUUCCGGAGCAACGGCCGUCCAGAGCCGGCCACAGCUCAGGCGCAGGCGAGCGGCGAGGCCAAGGCGAGCGAGGGGGUGAGCAAGGCGGAGUCCGACCGGGCGUGCUCCGACGCGGCCAUGCUGCUGGCGAAGCUGGCGCUGGCGCGGGGGAGCUCCGACAACGUGAGCGUCGUGGUCGUGGAUCUGCGCCGGGGAUCGUGA